GGCUACCUGGCGCAAUGGUAGCGCGUCCGCCUACGACUUGUAGUUAUAGCGGGAAGUUGCAGGUUCGAUCCCUGCGGUGGUCA